UACAGAGGUCUCAAGCGUUGUUCGGAUUCAUUGGGCGUAAAGGGUGCGCAGGCUGUGGUGUAAGUCGAGUGUGAAAUCUCGGGGCUCAACCCCGAAAUUGCACUCGAUACUGCAUCACUAGAGGACUGUAGAGGAGAGUGGAAUUCACGGUGUAGCAGUGAAAUGCGUAGAUAUCGUGAGGAAGACCAGUUGCGAAAGCGACUCUCUGGGCAGUUCCUGACGCUCAUGCACGAAGGCCAGGGGAGCAAACGGG
rnacentral:rRNA from 2 species